CGCACACACACACAAAUACACACACACACACACACACCAAAGCCGGGGGAGGUGGAGGCAGCAGCGCUUGCUUUCACCGGCUGUCCAUUGAUCAGUGGAGAGGUUGGUAGACUUAAAAGAUCAGUGUAGAGACUGGUGGAGAGCAGAGAGAGGGAUGGAUGGAUGGAGAGGAGGAUGCCGGGGUCCUGCAGGAGGAUACAGGGUUUAGAGGAGGAGAAGGAAGGGAAAGGUAGAGAAGAAAGACAGGAAACAGCAAAGUGUGUGAGGAGAUAGGGAGAGGAGGGCGAAGGGGAGAAGCGAGAGAGGCAGAUCACGGCGUCUGGGGGUUGCCCUGGGUUUUUAACAGUCUGGAGGAAGCCCCCGCUGGACCCCCUGUCGGACUUGGAACAGCAGAUGGGCGCUCCGGGGAGAGGGAGGGGAGAAAGCGGCGGAAAAGUCCAUCUGCGGCAGUCAAAAUGGACGCCGGAACAGCCGGGGCUGAGGCGGCCAUCUUGGGCUCAGUCCGGGAGCAGAGAAGGGACUGUACAGCAGCUUAGCUCCUCUCGCUACAUGCACCUCAGCGUGUACCUGAAGCUACACUGCUAGCACGGCUAAAAAUCACCCCUAUUUUGCAUGUAUGUUAGCGCGUUAGCUGGUAUUCUACGACAAAACACUCAAGGUUUGUGGCGUAUGAGUGAUGACGUAACGUCUGCUUGACAUUGUAUCUAUAGGUUGUACUUCUAAACGUGAUUUUAAAGAGCCCUCAUAUUUAACUUUACCUCAGUUCCUGCAGGGACACAGACAGCAGCAUAUCCGUUACGUAAUAGACUGACGUGGAAUUUUCCACAGGAGGGAUCUAAAUGUACUUCCUCACACUGACGGUCAAACCUGCAACACAGGAGGACAUGUGGAAAGGGUUUCAAUGGGGAAAAUUGUUCUUCUUUUCUCGUCUGUUAAGGAUGUUUUGAGGCGCAAUGUUGUGAUUUUUCUCCUGCUGUAUAUUGCACAAUAUUCUGAGUCACUUCCUCACCUACACCAGAGCAAGCCAACGCGGAUGACACAUCCGAUACGCCCGGGGAGGCUGCUCGUUUGCCACAUUUCCCUCCGCGUGACGUCGUCCGUCCCUCCCUCAUCAUUUCCCGUCUUGGCUGAAACACGGCGGCCAUUUUGGCUCCGGAGCGGCGAGACCCACAGGGCGCCCAGCGGUUGCUCAGUAGUCAGUGUAGAUCCUGUGGGGCUGGCAGCAGCUACAUCUGGCUACUGGGUCUCCGCUGGCGGACAUGUUAUUCAGGGUACAUGAUGAUGAAGUAAAGUCUCACUGAAUUAUAACGUUUGCAACACAUUCUGGAACACUUUGAUUACUUUACAUUAGGAUUAGUGUAUUAUUCUCUAAUAGGGUUUUUUCCCUGUGUGGUUCACAAACUCUCCUUGUGAUCUUUUCUGCCACGCAGCUUUCAAAUGUCAAAGAAAUGUCUCGUAAGCCCACCCACUGCGAAGAGAAAAGCCUUCCGCAGAGUUAAUCCUGACUGCAUGGGUAGCUUGGAUGACGGCAGGCAUUUCAAUUUUAACAUAAAAAACGAUGUUUUGAGAUUUGGGGUAAGUUCUGGACCUGGCAUACAGUGUAGGAUUCUGUGUGUGUCAGUCUACAGCUACAUUGUCUGCUGGGUUUCAGACCUGUACUCGUACACAUCUCAUCCAUAUGAAAUGUAUGCAAGUGUUUCUAUUGUUUUGACAUUUUCUGUAAGUGAUAAAUGAAAUGAAUAUAUGAAAGCAUUGUGGUGUGUCUGAAGAACCAAGACGCAUGGAUAAUUUGACAACUUUGUGUUUAUUGACUCAUCAUAAAACAUUCUUCAAACAAUAAAACAAUUUUAAAUGUC